rnacentral:rRNA from 1 species
GUGGGGAAUAUUGGACAAUGGGGGGAACCCUGAUCCAGCCAUGCCGCGUGUGUGAAGAAGGCCUUUUGGUUGUAAAGCACUUUAAGCGAGGAGGAGGCUACCGAGAUUAAUACUCUUGGAUAGUGGACGUUACUCGCAGAAUAAGCACCGGCUAACUCUGUGCCAGCAGCCGCGGUAAUACAGAGGGUGCAAGCGUUAAUCGGAUUUACUGGGCGGAAAGCGCGCGUAGGUGGCCAAUUAAGUCAAAUGUGAAAUCCCCGAGCUUAACUUGGGAAUUGCAUUCGAUACUGGUUGGCUAGAGUAUGGGAGAGGAUGGUAGAAUUCCAGGUGUAGCGGUGAAAUGCGUAGAGAUCUGGAGGAAUACCGAUGGCGAAGGCAGCCAUCUGGCCUAAUACUGACACUGAGGUGCGAAAGCAUGGGGAGCAAACAGGAUUAGAUACCCUAGUAGUCC